rnacentral:rRNA from 1 species
GCGCGAACUUUCACGAGCGAGCGCGGUCACGAAGCCCUGACGAGUAGGAGGGUCGCGGCGGUGAGCGCAGAAGGGCUGGCCGCGAGGCCGUCUGGAGCCGCCGUCGGUGCAGAUCUUGGUGGUAGUAGCAAAUACUCCAGCGAGGCCCUGGAGGACUGACGUGGAGAAGGGUUUCGUGUGAACAGCCGUUGCACACGAGUCAGUCGAUCCUAAGCCCUAGGCGAAAGCCGAUGUCGAUGCGGUGUAGUUUUUACGAUAGAUAGACAGACAGACAGACGAAAUUCGACGACUACSACGAAAGAAACAUCAAUUCGUCGUCUAGUCGUCAUCGUCGUCGUAAGUCUAAUUAAUAACGCGAGAGCACACACCCGUCGGGCGAAAGGGAAUCCGGUUCCUAUUCCGGAACCUGGCAGCGGAACCGUCAAAAAGUCGGGC